UACAGAGGGGGCAAGCGUUGUUCGGAAUUACUGGGCGUAAAGGGCGCGUAGGCGGCCUUCUAAGUCGAACGUGAAAUCCCCGGGCUCAACCCGGGAACUGCGUCCGAUACUGGAAGGCUUGAAUCCGGGAGAGGGAUGUGGAAUUCCAGGUGUAGCGGUGAAAUGCGUAGAUAUCUGGAGGAACACCGGUGGCGAAGGCGACAUCCUGGACCGGUAGUUGACGCUGAGGCGCGAAAGCCAGGGGAGCCAAAGCGGGAUUAAGAAACCCC
rnacentral:rRNA from 1 species